UACGUAGGGGGCAAGCGUUGUCCGGAAUCAUUGGGCGUAAAGCGCGUGUAGGCGGCCCGAUAAGUCCGCUGUGAAAGUCCAGGGCUCAACCCUGGGAUGCCGGUGGAUACUGUCGGGCUCGAGUCCGGAAGAGGAGUGUGGAAGUUCCUGGUGUAGCGGUGAAAUGCGCAGAUAUCAGGAGGAACACCAAUGGCGAAGGCAGCACUCUGGGACGUGACUGACGCUGAGACGCGAAAGCGUGGGGAGCAAACAGG
rnacentral:rRNA from 1 species